AAUUCAUGUACGAGGCGAGGAAGAACAGCAGAAGAAAAGCACACGAACGCGUUGGGUCUUUCAGUAAAAGGUUGUUGAAAACAUUGGAUGGUUCUAUCACAUAUCAAUAUAAUUCAACUUGUCUACUAAAAUGUCCCUGCUCAGAACCUUUCAGUUGUCUGCAUACAUUUUCUGCCUUUAACCGGGUUCGUUUCAUUCCCUGCACUGCCUUGAUGCUGUCAACCAAAAAUUUCCCAUGCUUAAUUCAACCAUAAGCGCUCAAGAUGAGGUUAAUAGUUAGUGUGCAAGAAGCGCGUGCCUAAGAAAACCAUGCCGACACGCGGUACCAGCUAGGCAGCGUGCGUACUGAAGUAUAAACGCGCGGCGAGGGAGCUGGGGAUGCGGUACGCGCUACGCGACCGGCGUAACUGCUUUGAAAUAAACAACCUACAUGUCGGCGAACCAUUCUGCAUUGCACUUAGGAUGUUUUAAAAACUUGUAGCAACUGAUUCCACUGCCAACUUUCUUUGGGCAUUAUAAGCUGUGCCGAAGAUUGGCAUUACAACGACCGCAAAUUUAAGUUACAGCAGACACGAAACGCGCCAAACGUUCAGUGAAAUGAACAGGAUGCCGCUACACUCACAUACAAGCGAGCGCCGUCCGCUCCGUUGUCUUUUUUAGGAGACAUAGACAGAUGAAAAGAGCGUUAAAUGUGUGAAGCCGCCAACUGAGAAAUGAAAUCUUUACCACUGUCCAAACACGAAAUGCUUCCACCAUCACACCAAUAACAUCACUGGCACCUCUGACAUUUAUUUCUGUAAUUCAUUGCUUGUUUUCAUUUUUUUUUUCAUUUUUGCUUGUGCCUCUAAGUGCCUUUUUCUAACAUGGCGGCAGCGAGCAGGCAUCAGCCACACCGGAGCGCGGCCAUCCACGGUGCUAUCAUCUCUCCUCCUCGGCCCAAUCGAGAUAGCUCGAGUUGCACGCUGGGAAGAUUUUAAGCGGGAGCGGGAGGCUCGGAGCCGGCGGGAGUGGUUAGCGCGCUGUCGUCCUGUCGUUGUUGUCGUUCUGAGACGGCCAUUAUAUUUGACUUGUUUGGAUACCAUCCGAUCACCAUUGUGUGCUGCCACCACUUGUAGCCUGCAGUAGUUAUUACCGCUUCUACUGGGAACUUGCGCCAUCCGCUGCACCCUCAUGCCUUUGUGCAGCAGAGACCUUUUCGGUGUGUUGCGCGGUCGCUGCAACGAGCCGGGUUGUGAGUGCAAGCGAUACACCAUUCUGCGCCUGUCGGAAAGUGACAACCUGGUGAGGUGUGACUAUUGUGACCACGUCCCAAAUGCACACGGAAAAAUAUGUGAUCUCGAAACGAAAAAUGCAGCCGAGGCAAAGGUGCAAUGCAAUGUGCCAGGCACCGUUGUUCGAGGCCUCAGUGUCACAUGAAACUGUGGAAGCUUGCACAUCUAGUCUCCUCAGUGCAAUAUGAGAGGACUGUCCCAGUUGGUGCCUCCAUAGAAAAUGAAUCGGCCUGAAUGCCUGUGCAAGAAUCACAACCUGGCUGCUCUAAAGACUCCGCACCGUAGUCCCAUGUGCAAGAGCCCCCACUUGACAGCCCAGUGGUUGCCAUGGAGAAAGAGAUCCGCGAUACUGAAUGCGGCCAAGGUAUGUGAUGUGAAAUAUAAUUUACUAGUUCAUAAGGAAAACAUCUCAAAUGUAACGAUACUAAAUAUUACACUCAUUUGUAAACUUUUCACAUAUCGUCCAGAAAGCUCUCUGCAUUCACCUUGUGAUUACUUUUACUCACAUCUGUGUUCCUGUUCAGUACUUAUAUUGUAGCAUUAUCAUUUGUAUUGGUCAGUGGUGCGAGUCGAGCGGAGCAUCAUUACACGAUUUAAUGUUGUCGCCUUAGAUUUUCUUCCCCUGAAAUAAUACUAAGGAUGGAGGCAUUGCUCAUACUUUAUAUGCGCUUAAAUUGAGGUAUGGUAGUAUUUUGGUGCUAUUUUUUAUUCACUACUUCCGUUUAGCUAGACUGCACGAUAAUUAACACAUGAAGGCACAGAAUGUAGAGAAGGAGCAAAUUAAUGAAAUUAGAUGAAAUUGUUAAUUUAUAUUUAACAAUUUAAUUUAAAUGUGAUUUAUUGCAUUUCAAAGUUAAUAAAGGUGAGGUAAGCAAAAACCGUAAGAGACAUCCUGCCGGACGGAACGUGCACACAGCCAGCUCAUGAAGUGUGCGAUGCUGCACCAAUUUACCUGGUGAAAUCUCGUUAAUGCGUAUCUUGUGGGAACAGGGCAUAAUUACGCGCUAAACAGUAGUAUCCUUUAGUGAGAUUUCAGUUGUAUAUAGUUGAGCAAACAAACGAAAAUUGGUAUUAUACUGAUUACUUUCGGUAAAAUAACAUUUCAUUGCUUUUUCCUGCAUGCUUUAAUGAGAGCUAAAGGUGAGCCAGUUCUAAUUUUCCUUGAUGUAGAAUGGUUGGGCUCUUUCGGGUUGAGUUGUGCUCUGCAUCUGCAGUACUGCACGUUUUUGAUAAAUUUUACUUCGUCAGUUCACAUUAUGCUGUGCAUAUUUAAUGUUUGAUAGGCGAAUGUUUAUAGGCUCUAAGUGUCCUUGUAGGCUCCACUGCCCAGUGGUGAUAUCCAGAUUGCAGCUCCCCACGUCUACACAUGCAGCGAGCAAACGUGUGUUUAUGCUGGCAGCAGGCAAGAAAUAAUUUGGGUCUCGAACGGCAGCCUGGAGCUAGCUGUAAUUUAUUGUAUUUUAACCUACUACAUCAAGAACCUCGAUUAUCCAUAUGCAUUUGCACCAUUCCUGGCGCUGAUGCAGAAACUUGUGCUUCCCAGCAAUGUUGUGCCUAGAGGGCUCAUAAAUAACAGAUUGAAGUGUUUCUUUGCUCUUCUGAAGAAAAAGAAUGUGAUUUGAUUCAAAGUCUAGUUAACAAUUUUCACCUUGCAUUAAUGUUCACUUGUUGCCAGGAGGUGGUGAACAGAUGCAUCAUUUUGUGCAUUACAGUUGCAUGCCUUUCUAUAACUGUUUUAUUGAAAAUUACUGAGGUAAUACAUCCAUUCAUGCAAGUGGCAUUUAGUAUUGUGCACAAGUAUUUUAUUUAGCUGCUCAAAAUUCUUAAAUUCGUGCAAUGUGAAUUAUGGCGGCCUUUCUUUGUCACUGAGUUAUUCUAACUGCUAGCCUCUAGAUGAUAGCGUAAUUGUGCAGUACUCUGCAUAGCAGUGCCCAAAUGACCUUUUUCAAUAUUUAUUUUAAAUAGGUAGUGCAUUCAAGAAGUUUGAAUCCCAUCCUUGACAUUGUUAGCUAGACAGUAAAAUGUGUCAUGUAGUAAUUUUAAUAAAAAAUGUUCACGUUUGCAUUGUCAAAAGGAUCUAAACUGAGAGUUCACUAUGCUGUAAGCAUCACCACUUCCAGCCUUUUGUCAUUUGGCCCACAAGCCAGCACUUCGCACAUCUCCUGGUUAAGCUUUGUCUGAUGUUUGUAAGAGCAACAAGUUGUCUUUUGAUGCCAGUGGUGGUCAAUGCUAACACUAAGGAAACGUUGCUCAGGUAUAGAUGGGCUGCAUGCAUGCAUGGCCUUGUGGUCCAGUCUUCUUUUUUAGGUUCACCUAUAGCCAAUACUUUGUAUAUUCUUUGCAUCGGCUACAUUGCAUUGGCAACGUCUUUAUUGACCUGCUCUAAUGCUGCACAUUGAUGUGUAAAGCUUUUUUUAUGUAGUGUCCAAUGUGGAUCUGAACACAAGUGUCCAGUUUUUGUUCCUUCAAUCUCAUAUACUAAUAUUUGCCUUGUUUUCUUGCUUCCUGACAGCAGUACAAGUUUUUACAUGGACAGUUAACACGAAGUUAUUGACGACAUGCAUGGCUGAAACACGGUGAUAUGAUUUUAAAAAUUCCUGUGUUAUGAUGCAAGUGAUAGUAUUCUGUUGAAUUUUCAGAUCUAGUCAUGUGCCAGCAAGGCCUGCUGUACUUCUGGUGUAUUCUAUGUUGUAUUUUCAAAUAAAGAUGUUGCAUUCUGAAGUUAACCUUA